rnacentral:rRNA from 1 species
AAGUGUCUGAGUAUAAAUUAAAUCAAUUUAAACCUUUCAACAACGGAUCUAUUGGUUCUGGCAUCGAUGAAGAACGCAGCGAAAUGCGAUAAGUAAUGUGAAUUGCAGAAUUCAGUGAAUCAUCGAAUCUUUGAACGCACAUUGCGCCCCCUGGCAUUCCGGGGGGCAUGCCUGUUCGAGCGUCAUUACACCACUCAAGCCUAGCUUGGUAUUGGAGGCCGCGAGCGAUCGCGCCUCUCAAAGUCACCGGCUGAGCCGUCCGUCUCCAAGCGUUGUGGCAACUAUCCGCGAGAGAGACCCGGGCGACCCGGCCGUUAAACCCCCCAUCAAAGGUUGACCUCGGAUCAGGUAGGGAUACCCGCUGAACUUAAGCAUAUCAAUAAGCGGAGGAA